GCAGCUCAAGGGCAAGGUCGACAUCUUCUCCAGGGCCGACGGAUCGGCGCUGUUCGAGAUGGGCAACACCAGGGUCAUCGCCGCCGUCUACGGCCCCUGAGAGUAUGCAUACCCAGGUCAAGCUUGCGGUCAUGGUGAAGGUGCUGAUCUGGGUUUCCUUCUUUAGAAGUAAAAUGUUUGCUUCCUACUUUCUUUAGGAUGCUGUACUUCAUUCGUGUUUCAUCGUGGGCUCCAAGAAGUGAAGAAGCAUUGAGUUCUAGCUCAUUGGAGCUAGUUAUACUCUGAUAGAUAGUUAUAUUUUGAUAUUUAGUUGUGUUCUUGGUGGCUGUAAACCUGAUGUGAAGUAUGUUCGAUUAUAAACGUGGUGU